CACAGAGGUAAACGGGUGGCGCCGAAAUGCGCGGCAGGGAUUCAGUCCAUGCAGUCGGAGGAGGUUGCGUUUGUGUACAAUAAUAUGUCUGGCACAUUCGUGAUUUUUCGACGGCUACUGGGUGCACUUUCUUGUCGCUAGUCACUGCAACUGGUAGUUGGCUGAUUCUAUGACGCUUGGAAGGUAGUGUCGUGCGUUCACGCGUGCGACAUGUUAUAGCCUGAGUCAUGAAUCUGGUUGGCUACCAGAGACAGCGUCGUACCGCUUCGUUCAGUUAUGUGUUUGGAGGUGCACUUGUUCGACUACUUGUAGUCUGCAUUUGUUAUCGCUGAAUAUGUAGUUGUUCGUUGGUGCGGCAACAGUUUGCGGUGUCAAAGUAGGUUACCCACCUGACCCGUCUUGAAACACGGACCAAGAAGUUCAGCAUGUGCGCAAGUCAAAGGGUCUUACGAAACCCCACGGCGUAAUGAAAGUAAAGCAUUCUUCCUGAAUGUUAGAUGAGAUCCCUGAAGCUUCGGCGGAGGGGCGCAUCAUCGGCCCGUGUCAACGUUCUUCUGAACAGAUGCGGAGCUAGAGCGCAUAUGCUGAGACCCGAAAGAUGGUGACCUAUGCUUGUGCAGGUUGAAGCCAGAGGAAACUCUGGUGGAAGACCGAAGCUGUUCUGACGUGCAAAUCGAUAGUCAGACAUGAGUAUAGGGGCGAAAGACUAAUCGAACCAUCUAGUAGCUGGUUCCCCCCGAAGUUUCCCUCAGGAUAGCUGAAACUCGUAUUCUGUCGUAUCCGGUAAAGCGAAUGAUUAGACGUAUUGGGAGCUAAUAGCUCUCAACGUAUUCUCAAACUUUUAAUGGGUACGAUCACCUACCUGAUUCAUUUUAGGAGGUUGAUGUUGAGGAAAAGGAAGAGAGUUUCAAGUGGGCCAUUUUUGGUAAGCAGAACUGGCGCUGUGGGAUGAACCAAACGUUCGGUUAAAGUGCCUAAAUCUUCGCUCAUGAGACACCACAAAAGGUGUUGGUUGAUAUUGACAGCAGGACGGUGGCCAUGGAAGUUGGAAUCCGCUAAGGAGUGUGUAACAACUCACCUGCCGAAUCAACCAGCCCUGAAAAUGGAUGGCGCUGUAGCGUGGUACUUAUACCGGACUGUCACUGCAUUGUGUAUCUCGAAUACGUGGUGACAAGUAGGGGGGACGCCGUGGUUGUGUUGAAGCUUCGAUAGUGAUAUCGAGUGGAGC
rnacentral:rRNA from 1 species